UCACAACUCAGCUCUUCUCUUUCACAGUACCACACAGAGCUGACUUGGGAAGCUGGGAGCCCCGCAGGAAGCCUCAUACAGCAGAGCCACCCUGACAACCUCAAAUCCUGGGGACUCAGCAUGUUUGCAGCUUCCCAACUGUUUUCUUCCUCACUACUUAAAGGAUGAAUUUGGUGGUUUUGCUCUGAAGUUUGAUGAAACACUUGUAACACUGUCACCAACUUGGCCUGUGAGUUCAUCUUGAAAAGCAAAGCUCCUGUAACACAUGCAUUUUGUAAAAUUCAGUGGCAGUAGUAAAGCACUGGCUCCAGCUCUCAUUUGCAAACUCAUUCAACCUCCUGUCCCAACAGGUCCCUGCUGCUCACAGGUGACACACACAGUGGCUUGUUUUACUGUUGUAUUUCAAGGCCAAUGAAUGCCACGCACCUCUAAAGGCCCCGAUGCCAGGGGAAUACAAACCAGAGGCUGUUUUUGUUGGUCCUUGUUUUGGGGAGUCACAAGUCAUCUCUUACACAGUGGGAAGGACUCAUGUUGGAGAAAGUUUGUGGAAGACUGUCUUCUGUGAGAGGGACACCAUGCUGUAGCAGGAGAAGAAUGUGAGGAGUCCUCCCCCUAAGGAAGGAGUGGUGGGGCUGACCACACCCCCCAUUCCCUGCCCCCUGUGCUGUAGGAGAGGAAGACGUAGAGAAAUUGGAACCACAGCUGAGCCCAGGAAGAAGAAAGGGGUGGAGGGAAGGUGUUUUCAAGAUGUGGUAAUAGUUCCCACAGUCCUAUUCUCUCUGUUAAGUGUUGUUGUUGUUAGUGUUUGAAUUAAAUUGAUGUUCUUUUUC